ACUCGAAUAGUUUAAUUAGAAUAUUAACUUGUGGCGUUAAAGGUGUAGUUUACUUUGGGUA
rnacentral:tRNA from 1 species